rnacentral:lncRNA from 1 species
GAUUUUAAAAUUUUCAUAAAAAUAAAAUGUUUUGAUUACAACGACUCAUCCUACUAAACUUCAACCAUAAAAACCAACAGACUCGAAUAAAGAAACUGACAGACUCCAACAGACAGAUGAAAAUAUAGACUCGAAAACAGACUAACAAACUCUAACAGAAAGAAAAUACAGACUCGAAUAAACAUCAUGAAUACAUCAAUGUCUCAAAUGCUCCUGGGGCCCGUGGGAUAUCAUUUGGUCUCACCACGGGCCUAUGCGCGAGAUCCUUUUGAAGCUGUUCCAAAUAACUCAUUAUUUGGCAGACAAAUGUCAUCACUGCAGCAAAGAAAGUGGUUUGAGUCAUGUCCUCACAUGCUUGGCACUUCGGCAUUAUGUAGUCGGCAAUGUCCCUAACCCUCUCUCGAAAAAUACCCUUUUCCUGAAGCAAGCGUCCAAUUUGCUAAUUUCGGGCUUCUAGCACGUGAGUGUAAUGUUGGCUUUGAAGUAGUAGAUGUUGCAUAUCUUCUUCCAUCUGGCCAUUAAGGCAUAACAAUGUUCCCUAUUGGCUUUGAUGUUCUUGGCAUGUCUGUCUGCCUCAUUUUCAAGGGUAGUUAUCUUUCUCCUCAGAUUGGUGAUUGUUCCCUCAUAUUUGCUUUCAUUCGUUGCACAAAUUGGGCCCGCCCUUCUGUGUUCUUUACCAGUUGGGUCCGGACUUUUGCUAUACUGGCCUCAAAUUUUUCUAGGUCAUCCUGACACUCGAGUACCUUCUCUAUCUGGUCGCUUAUAAGCCUUUCAUCCGUGUGGCUCCUUUCCGAGUUUCUAGCUGCUAUUCUUAUAUUUCAGAUUUGAGCUUUGAGGGCUUUAUUUUUCUGAGUUAGCUUUUUAUUUUCCCCUUCAUCUGCGGCAGCUUGGAUACUCUUGCCAAAUUUGAGGUCCCGAAUCUGUCCUUCCAGUUUACCUAUUUUGGCUAUGUAGCUUUCUUCCUUCGCCAAUCAGCCCUACUGCUCAUGCGAAUCAUUAGUGAAUUUUUGGACAUGAGCUCUCUUAGUAGGUCUCUCAGGAACCUGAAACCUUUUACCAAACCAAACAUUGUACUUGGGGUCUACCUCUCCCCUAGCAAGAUCUCGCACCAUAGUCUUUGGUUCGAGAAAUCUGCAUUCAUUGCAUAGCUGGCUAACUCGUCCUCCCGGAAAUGUGGCCUUCGGGCUCAAUUCUAUGAAAUGUCUACUCAAAUACUCAUCAUGGAGAAUGGUUUGAAAUCUUCCCAAUUGGUGCAAGACCCUGUGAGGAGCAUAUGGUUGGAUGCUCCGGAUGCCCAUAAGGAGAAGAUACUUCGGCUGACAUGUAUACUGUUUCGGUGGCAGAAAGCUAUCCAAACGCCCACUCAAUUUUAUCAGCAGUCAAAGAGCUCAAGAGUGCAAGCCAAGCCUCAGUUCCCUCGGGAUGUAAUACCCACCACUCGGCUUUCAAAUUCUUUGAUUCUUUCAAUAGGUCAUACUGUGGUUCGUAUACCCAACACGGUAGCAGAGAUGUUCCUAUAUCCACAAUUGCAGUCGUAAGUUGCAACCUUGGAAGAAUUUUCCCCCUUCUUGACAAAUGGUCAGAGCCCGAUAAAUCUCGGAUAAAAUCAGGGGGACCAAAUUUCCAUUAGCUCUCUUAGUUGUGACGUCAACCAUCCCUACGAGGCCCAAUUCUAUGUUACCGCCAUCCCGCGGACAGACUACACUACCCAAGGAUGCUACUAUAAACCAAACCUCGCCUUGCCUCCCACUUAUCUUUAUUUUCGGCAUGAGUCAAACCAGUGUUCGGUGCUUCGAAACCUUGGGGGUUUCCAUUGCGUUGCUAAUGGGCUGAAAAGUGCAAUACCCUUCAGAAAAACUCCUAUUCUGAACGUCCCGGGUAAUGCUCAACAGGUCAAGAAAUUGGUGUAGAGAUAUCGGUCUUGGUAAAAUAGGGUAGAUACUUCUAAGGUUUCCACUAAGGCCGGCGUAACUCGUAAUUUCUUCUAGAGUAGGUGUGAUCUCGAAGUCAGAAAAGCGGAACACAUUGCAAGUCGGAUCCCAAAAAGGUAUCCGAGCUUCAAUCACG